UACAAAAAGGAAUAAGCGUUAUUCAUAAGUAUUAGGUGUAAAGAGUAGGUAGAUGGUUUAUAAAACUAGAGUGAAAUAGAAGAGAAUGGAAUUUUUUAUUAUGGGAUAAAAUCUGUUAAAAUAAAAAGGAACUCUAAAGCGAAAGCAAUUCUCUAAUUUAUCACUGACAUUAAACUACGAAAGUCAAGGUAGCAAAAAGG
rnacentral:rRNA from 1 species